rnacentral:rRNA from 1 species
GACGAACGCUGGCGGCGUGCUUAACACAUGCAAGUCGUACGGUAAGGCCCUUUCGGGGGUACACGAGUGGCGAACGGGUGAGUAACACGUGAGUAACCUGCCCACAACUUUGGGAUAACGCUAGGAAACUGGUGCUAAUACUGGAUAUGUGCUCCUGCUGCAUGGUGGGGGUUGGAAAGCCCCGGCGGUUGUGGAUGGACUCGCGGCCUAUCAGCUUGUUGGUGGGGUAGUGGCCUACCAAGGCGGCGACGGGUAGCCGGCCUGAGAGGGUGACCGGCCACAUUGGGACUGAGAUACGGCCCAGACUCCUACGGGAGGCAGCAGUGGGGAAUAUUGCACAAUGGGCGCAAGCCUGAUGCAGCAACGCCGCGUGCGGGAUGACGGCCUUCGGGUUGUAAACCGCUUUCAGCAGGGACGAAGCUUUUUGUGACGGUACCUGCAGAAGAAGCACCGGCUAACUACGUG